rnacentral:misc_RNA from 1 species
CGUGCGUCGUAGUUGCAAAAUGUCAAAGAAUCAUGUCAAAAAAUUGUCAAAAAGUCAAUAAGUAUCAGAUCUGUGUAUCAGAUUAUAUCAGUAUUUAUAUUAGUUUAAACCGUUAUUUUGUAUUCUUUUCCAAGUGUUUCUCGUAUUUAGUUCCUGUUUAAAACUGAUACUAUAAAAUCCAACUUGAUUUAUACAUGAUCAAUUCCAUAUAAAGGAUAACAGAAACAUUCAAUGGUAGUGUAGAAUACUGUUAUGACAGUUUCAUUGUAAGACUCAAGACAGCUGAUAAAAUGAGUACAAUUAUUGAGCCUCCAAAGUUCGGAAGCAAAGACGAAGAAAUUGAUUAUUGGAGAAAUCUAGCUCAUGAAUAUAUGCAAGAAAUUGAUAGAGUUCAGAAAGAUGCAGACGAAUUUAUGGUCGAGUCAAAACAGCUUGAGAAAGAAUAUGAAAUGACAAUAGAUCAGAAUGAAAAGAAAAUUAAAGAACUGAGUAUAUCAAACAAUCGAACACAAAAUGAAAUUGAUGCUUUAAGGGUUAAGCUUGAAAUAUGUUAUAAAGAAACAACUAAUCAACAAACUGAAAUAGAAUCACUAAAGGCAGAAAAGAAACAGCUGUUAACAAAAAUUCGAGAUUUAGAACAAUUAAAUGAUGAUUUGGAAAGAUCUAGGAGAAUAGUUGAAGAAAGUAUUGCUGGUUUCGAACAGGCACUUAAUUCAGCCCUAGAAAAAAAUGCUAUUUUAGAAAGUGAAGUUGAUGAAAAAGAAAACUUGAAAGAAAAAUUACAAAGACUUGCUGAUGAAACAAGAGAUCUUCAGCAAGAAUUACUUGUAAAAGAAAAGGAACGAGCACCAGACAACGAACGAUUCUUAAAUGGAUUCAUUGAUAAUAGACUCAAAGAGAAUGAGACCCAAACAUCACCAUCAAAACGAGAGUACCAGCCACCUCUUUCGCCGGCUUCAAGAGUAAUGGCUAUAAAUAUCGUCAGUGAUUUAAUUAGAAAAGUAGGGCUGACCCGGUUCCUUUGUUCAAAUUGUGGUCAAAUUAAAUGUACCAUGUGCAAACCGGACCGUACGCGGCUUAAUAGGAAUAGUUGCAAUUUGUAGUGUUUGGUAUGGUUUGGGUGAAUAGGUUUAGAACGUCGUUUAGAUUUUAGGGAUCUCCAAACUAGUGAACUGAGGAGAUCGAGACACUCUUCCGUGAAUGGUUCAGCUACCAGUAUGAAUGGCAUAUCCAAAUAGGAUCGACUAACCUUUACUUAUUAAAAUGAAUUAAACUCAGCUACUAGUCCAGCUUGGUGUAAAACUUAAAAAAAAUAGAUAUAUAUUUCGGCGUCCUUUGGUGUAUAAAUAAUCAUGUAAAAAAUAUUUAGAUACUUAAAAACAAGCAGUAUUAUACAAUCGAUAUUAUUUCCAUGAUAAUAACAAUGGACUGAACACUUUGUGAUUGAAUUUAAGAAUAUUUGUAGUCCAUGUAUGUAUUCGUUGCAACCAACAACUAAUAUUUUAACCAUUAGUUAUAUUUUAUUUAAAAGGCCGUAAUAGUCUAAGAGCUAGCAACGUUUUCGAGAAAGUAUUUUAAGACGUCUGGCUCUUUGAUAUAUCUUCUACUAUGCUCU